ensembl:processed_transcript predicted gene 20492
CUGAAGGGAGCGAGGUCAGGAAGGCAGAAGUCAGGCACUUAGGCACUUGGCGGGGGAGAAACGGCGGGGGCAGGCCAGGAGAGACCAUCUGGUCCAACCCACCCCCCACCUCUACUAACAGAAGGGGAAAUGAAGGUCUGGAGCGGAGCGAAGAAGCAGUCUGGCCAAGGACCUGUCACCGUCGCACCAUCCAAUAGCAACCGGUCUUGGUUCAGUUUCUACUUAGACAAACUCUGGCUUGCCCCUCUUGAGUCUACGACAGACUAUGUAAUAGGCCACCACAUGGCCUCUGUUUUCAUGGCAC